rnacentral:rRNA from 1 species
AACGAACGCUGGCGGCAUGCCUAACACAUGCAAGUCGAACGAAGGCUUCGGCCUUAGUGGCGCACGGGUGCGUAACGCGUGGGAAUCUGCCCUUAGGUACGGAAUAACUCAGGGAAACUUGAGCUAAUACCGUAUAAUGACUUCGGUCCAAAGAUUUAUCGCCUAAGGAUGAGCCCGCGUCGGAUUAGCUAGUUGGUGAGGUAAAAGCUCACCAAGGCGACGAUCCGUAGCUGGUCUGAGAGGAUGAUCAGCCACACUGGGACUGAGACACGGCCCAGACUCCUACGGGAGGCAGCAGUGGGGAAUAUUGGACAAUGGGCGCAAGCCUGAUCCAGCAAUGCCGCGUGAGUGAUGAAGGCCUUAGGGUUGUAAAGCUCUUUUACCCGGGAAGAUAAUGACUGUACCGGGAGAAUAAGCCCCGGCUAACUCCGUGCCAGCCGCCGCCGUAAAAC